GUCAAGAGUAACAAACGAUAUCUGGGAGACGCUGAUGGACGCUGCGUCUAGUCAACGACCGUAGGUUGUGCACGGCUGCCGGAGCACCUUCGGGAAACGCUAACCGCCGAUUCAAGCCUGCACAGCAGUGACUGGAGAUACAGCAACCUUGUAUGAAAAGUGCCGAUAAGACAGUGCAGCCAACAGAAGGUUGCAUCUCUGCGCCCACGGUCCUGCUCGACAGUGGCUGAGACGUGCAACACAGUUGCGCCCAACUUCCCUCUAUGCUACAAGGUAAGCGAGGGAGUGGCUUUG